rnacentral:rRNA from 1 species
UACGGAGGGGGCAAGCGUUGUUCGGAAUUACUGGGCGUAAAGGGCGCGCAGGCGGCUGCUCAAGUCAGGCGUGAAAGGCCUGGGCUCAACCCGGGAAUUGCGCUUGAGACUGGGCUGGCUUGAGUGCGGGAGAGGAUGGUGGAAUUCCCAGUGUAGAGGUGAAAUGCGUAGAUAUCCGGAGGAACACCAGUGGCGAAAGCGGCCACCUGGACUGUACCUGACGCUGAGGCGCGAAGGCGUGGGGAGCGAACGGG